AUUUACGAGGCCAGCACAAAACCCCAGCUUUCUCCUCCCUCCAAGCCUGGGCAGGAGGCUGACAGGGAAGCCCCUACUUCAUCUUGACUAUGGACCCAGCCCCCCAGCCCCUCAGCCCCCGCAGCUCCCUCCAGCCACUGUGUGAGCCCCCAGCCCCUGCACAGAUACCUACUGGCACCCUGGCGGGUCGCUGCUCCAUGCAGCCCCUCCCAGUCCGUCCACGCUGCGGCGUCCCCGGUCCCCUCUGGCCUCAAGGCCUCAGGCAGGUGGAAUGAAAGGACUAUGUGACCUGUGUCCAUCUGUUUCCUGCCGCCUGCCCGUGUCUGUACCCAGCAGGUCCCGCUCUCGCCCAGCUCCAUGUUCCUCUUCCAGUCCAGUCCUCUGCUCCACCUCCCACCAUGGCUUCUGUUCCAGUGCUGACCACGCCUCCCCCUGCCCUCCCUGCGGGGCCCUGGGCUGCGGCGCACAGAGGGGAUACCUAGGGCCGACCCAACCCUGCUCGGGCAGAGGUUUCCGUGCCAAGCCAUCCUAGACUGCAUUUGGUGACCAUUUCGUGGUGCUGGAGUUGGGGAGGGUGUCAGCGGGCACAAGCCCGCCCCAGCGGGGUCAGUGGAUGUGGUGGCCUCUGCCCCCCAGGUGCAGGACCAGCCUGCAGCCUGGGCCUCCCUGGAGAAGCGCCCUCAGCCCCGUGCUGCUCCCAUGAAAUGCUCUAGGGAGGAACGCAGCCCAGGAAUGACUGAACGAUGGCCCAGGGCAGGACAGCAGACACACCUGGCAGCAGGGGACACUUAGGCACGAAUUGCUGUUUCCGCGGGCUCUGCUCUCUCCUGGUGGUGGCCUCCGAGCCCAGACGGUUGUCCAGUCGGUUGCGGCCAUGAAGGGCCCAGCAGGACUGAAGCAGCAUGUGAGGAGGUCGAAGAAGACGCCUUGGCAGAAGCUGGAAGGCUUCCCCAUCUUAAGCCAGCGUCGCCGCAGCAGGCCCCAGACGCGGGGAGCAUCAGGCCGCUCCCUGGAGAAGACACCGGCGGUGCCCACGGGCCAGGGGCUGAGCCAGCACGUGUGGGUGGCAGCCUGGUGGCCCGGCCAGCCCCGCAGGGCCCACAGUCCUCCAGAGGGGACCUGGAGCAGGACACGGCAGCCGCGCCUCCGGGUGGCGGGAAGAGGCCUCCUGGACGAGGAAGAUGGACCGAACCUGGGUCAGGCUUCAGAGCUGCCUGCCCCUUCCGCCGGCCCCAGGGUCCCGCCACCGGUGCCGGAACCAACGCUGGACGCCCAAGCUCAAGCGGACCCGUGGUCCAGCCCACAGGUUAUUUCCCCCCUGAGCGUGCUGCGCCGUCCCCCCCCAAAGUUCCUCCUAAGGGGCCGCUUUAGCCCCCAUGACUUUCUGUGUCUCCCCUGCGACUGACGAGUCCGCGGUCCUGCUGCGUCAGGGGGACCCACAAACACUUGCAGUAGGUGGGGAGGCUGUGGGUUCAGUUUUUAAAAAAACCAAAUCUGAUCCAGAGACUGUUUCUGGACUGAUUUCUGAUGAAACGCCCACAUUCCACAUUGGAGGAAACCACGUGAAAGGAAGUAUUUUAGACCGUUUCUCCUAAUUGCUGUUAACGAGACCAAAACAGAGGCUGAGGGCGCAGCUGAGGGGUUUCCACGAGGACAGCCCGUAGGUUGUGUUGGGGGCCCUGCCCUGGAGCCCCCCCGCCCGGCCCCUGCCCGCCAAAGCCGCUCAGGAUUUCUGUCCCUACUUGUAGGAAGCCGCCUGGGGGAGGCGGACAGGGCAGCUGGGGGCAAGUAUCCCCCAAAAGGCAGGCGCCGUCUCCCCACGAUCUUGGUGGGGUGCCCCAGGCCCCACCCAUCAUGUGGCUGCUGUGACCUCCUGCCUCGGCGGGGCUGCUGGCGCCGCAGAAGCAGGUUCACCGGCCCCUUCGGCGUGAGGCACCCACAUCCCCCGCAGGACAGCGGCUCCUCGAGGCCUGAGGCCCCUCCCUCGGCGACCCGAGCCCACGUCUGCUCCGACGCGGAGGGGGCCGUCCGGCGCCGGCCAGGACGCCGAGUCCACAGGGUAACUACAGCGGCUCGCGCCCCCCACCCGGCCUUCCCGGGACGCCCAGGCCCGGCCCCGGCGCGCUCCCGCGUCCGACACACUGACCAAGGCUGAGCCGAAACUCUGCCCAGAGCCGGCCGACGAGGCACGAGACCAAGCGCCUUCCCCCGACGGGGCUGGAGGUGAGCAGGAGCUCAGCCCGCGGCCACCGCCACCCUGGGUGCCCUCCGUGGCCGCCAGCAAGUCAGGGGCGCUCGGGGGCUCCGCGGAGCCUGCACACAGCAGCCCGGCCGCUGAUCGCCCUGAGAACCAGGUCGGGGUGGACGCUCCCUGGACUCGCUCAGAGCGAGGACCCCGGUGAGGGAAGAAAGGCCCGGAGCAGGGCGGCUCCAGGGGCGUGUGUCGCCCACGCGUGUGCCCGCCCGCGUGCUGGAGGAGCCCGGGAUCCCCACGCCUGGCCGCCGUUGGGCUCAUCCUCUGAGGGGACGAGCUCGCCUCCCUCCCGUGUGGCCCUUCCCGGCACCCGCCCGCUGGGCCAGCUGCUGCCAGCCUCCCUCCUGCCCUGGGCGACCCUCCCCGGCCUCCUCAGUGGGAAGGCCAGCUCCGUCCUGGGAGAAGUGGAACAGGCCAGGCACCCAGAGCAGCCCCCGUGUCUCCGUCCCCACGUGCUCCGCCAGGGGAGCAGCUCAGGGCCGCAGCAGCUGCACCUGGGUGGCCCGGGAGGGGGGGACACGGAGACAUCGGCCAUCAGCUUGCCCGGGAGCUGCCGCCAGCCGGCCACGCUGACACGGUGCAGCUGCCAGGCUCUGAGAGACGGGCCCGUGCCGAGGACGUGGCCGUCAGCGUGGGGCAGGGGGUGCGCCGCCCAUGCAUGCGGCCACGGAUGCGGAGCAUGCGCCUGAUAACACACCCACGUGCGCACAAUCACGGGCACCCAUAGGUGCGCACACACAGCCGUGCACAUGUAUGACCACACACGUGAGCACACACAAGCACACACAGGGCAGGUAGCGGUCCCUGGGGUGCAGACCGCUCUCCUCCAGCAGAGCCCCCUCUUUCAGGAGCAGGUUUGGGGGCGUCUCCUGAAUCCUUGUCUCCCCUCCUUGGCCUCCGCUGGAUUUACGGAUCUGAGUAAAGCUUGGUGAGUGCUUCCUCCCAAACCCCACGGCCGCCAAAGACGCUCACACCUCAGAGACCAGUUUCCUCGAGCGUGACCUGUGUUCCCUCCGUCCUUCCUGCAGGAAGAAGGUCUUGGGAAGUGUUUGUGGUGCCGCAGUCAGAUGUCCGACCACCCGCCCCGACCCGCUGCAGGGCUGAGUGCGGCCUAGACCCACGGGCCAGAAGCUCGACAGUGAGCCGGCCUCCCAGGGGCGCACGCCCGGCCGGGUGUCAGCAGCAGCUGGGGGGAGCAGCACCCCUGCCAGCGCUGGGAAAUGCCCCAGGGGGCGGAGGGCAUGGGCGGUAAAGGUACCAGGAGGGCCAACAGCGUCACUCCCGUGCCGCGCUCUGCGGGGUGCUGGCCUCUGGCGCCGGGGGCGGGGGGGGGGUGUUAUGGAGACCCCGAAAUGCAGGGCCUGCUUCCAGGGAGGACCCCCUGCCCCCACCCCACAGCGGCCAGCCUGCCACUGCCCUCUGCCGACCAUGCCGGCCCACCACACUCCUGGCCCUGGCGGGCAGAGGGAGGGGACCACAGGAGAAGGAGGCCCGUGUCAGCUCCAGUCAGCGUCAGCAAGCCGGUUGCUGUGGCAACGGGAGGAUGGGGGUGGAGGGGCUGAGUCCUUCUGGAAAGCAGGGAAUGUGUGUCCUCCUUCCAUGGAGCCAAAUUCUUCACGCUCUGCCUCCCCCUCCCAAACCCAUGUGACCACCCAGGCCCGGGGAUGGAGCUAGGCCCUGCUGUCCUGGGGGGCCUCACCCCACGGCCAGGUUCUGCUUGGGGUGUCGUCAGCAGGAGGGACGCUCCCCCAUGCUGCAGGGUCCCUAACGCCCUCACGGGCCACAUUCCAUCCGGAUAGACCGGAGGAUGCCCGGGCGGUCACCCAGGGACAGUCACUGCGGCUCCCUCGCCUGGCUUAUGGGGGAAUCAGUGAGCUCAGCCAAAAGCAGAGGCUGGGUAGGCCUGACCCCAGCAGGGACCCCAAGGCCUCAGGCCCCCCCCUGCCCCCCGUGCACAUAGGCCUUUACCUGACGCUGCCGCACACACCCGCCUGGAGGGUAGCCGCUGACCCAGCCUAGGCAGGAGCUGGCUGCAGCACUGCUGGAAGCCAGGACCCCAGCCCGGCAGCCCCGGGGGGGCCAGCAUGCACGGGCCAGGCCGCAGGGUCACACCCACCCCAGCACCCAGCGAGGGGUGGGCAGCCGAGCUGGGAGCCUGCAUCCGGGGGACCCAGGAAGCCCUGACCUCGGGGGGCCACCCGGGGAGAGGCUCGUGGGCAUCCAGAUGGCUCCUGGUUCUUCAGUUAUUACUUUAUGUAAACAAACAAGAGUCGCUGGUUCUAAAUAAAGUUGUCUGUG
rnacentral:lncRNA from 12 species